AUCCAUCACCUACAUUGCCACCCACCGCCAUCACCUCCACUUCCACUCUCCUUCCUUUCCCUUUUUCUUUCUUCUUCCUCCUCCUCCCUCUUUCACCAUUUGUAACAAAGAACACCCUUUAUCAUUACUUACCUUUCCUUACAUUAUUUAUCAUUAUUUACCCUUUAUCGGUCAAGAGCACGAAACUAACCUUUCAUUGGAUGAUCGAUGGACAGUAUAUGCACAGGACUCACGAAACUAACCCACAAGAAAAACGGCAGCAAAGCAGAAAUUCAACUAGACAGGAUUAUUGCUCUGAUGCAGAAAGGUCAAGAGCCAGGACUGAAAAAACGAGGGCGCAAAUUACUAACCUCAGUUCUGAUUGUCCGCCUAUUCAGGAAAGGACCAAGAGGGAAAGGAAACCCAGUGAUAUUGAAGUAGAACCUUCCGCCACUGCUACCACUCGUGCUGCUGAUGGCUUUUCCGGAAGCAACUACCAAAUUGACAUUCUUGAUUACUUUGGGUUUUAAUUGAAAAGAUAAGCCAUUUAAAGGUGACCCACCAAGGAAAGCAGUAGUGUUUGAUUCUCCUGAAGAUGAAUGAUUUGGCAAUAAAGUGGACUUCGGCGAGGUCAAAUUGAUGCCUGCCACCAUUUUCAAAUAAAAUUUCCUCCCACGCUCCCACUCCCCAAAUUAGUGCCAAAUUAGCGUCAGUUCAGGUGAGGCAACGCAAGAGUUGCAAAUCUAAAUUGUGGCCGGAUACAGAGUAAGGAAGGAAAAAGCUUCGGAUAACAAACUUGAAAGAGGGCCAGAGGUUUUUCAGCUAAGAAGAAAUGGGAAAAACGAACGAAGUAAAAACAAGAAAGCAGAGGAGGAGCUGCGGAGGAAUUGGAAAACAGAGGAGGAAGAAAAGAGGUCUAGACGAAGGACGAGAGAAAGAGGGGAAAGAGCAUCGGCGCAUCUCUUUUGCCGCUGCUGUUCGUUUUUGCGCUCACCGCCACUGAAGCCGCCGCCGCUCGAAGGAAGCCGCCAUCACCUCCCCAGAAUCCUCCAUCACCGUCGUCUGCAAAUCUUCAAUCGAACAGAUGUGGUAAGUCCUCUUUCCCCUUCAACCGAACAAAUUCUGUUUUCUCCUCAAGCUUAGACCUAUAAGAAUCUCAAAACCGAGAUUAGCUUAUUGUGAUUUGUAUGUUGAUUGUACGCAAUUUUGUGUAUACAUGCUUUCUGUGUUGUUUGGGAUUGAAUGUCUUUAUGUUUCUUACCAAUUCUUGGGCUGAUUAACUUCAAAUUGAACAAAAGAAUCGGUGAAAUUUCUUAUGCUCAUUUGGUGUUCGACGAAAUGCCUAGCUAAAAGUUCUUAUUGAAAGAUGCUUUAUUUGCAAUUUUUUUUCUUUCCUCGUGGAAAAAAUCGGUUAAGUUGGUCAAUUCGCUUCCUCACGUUUGAGAAAUUUUGAUGCAUUGCUGUCUUCCGUUUUUCCGUCUCUCAUGAUUAUGUAAAAGCUUCAAGGAAAAGGCUGUGCAGACAAAUUUGCCCCUCAAAAAGUUGAUUUCCAUCUCUCCUAACGGCACAAAUACACGGAGUGACCAAAACGAUAUAGAUUUACUAGUUCAGUGACAUUUCGCGCUAAUAAAAAAGUUUAGUGACCAGAACCGGCACUUUGAAAUAGUUUAGUGACAUUUCGCGCAAUUCGCUCUAUUUAUGAUAGCUGUCUAAAUUUUUGAGUCGAGAUCCUCUGUCUAAUAUUUUGUGUCCACUUUCGUGUCCAGUGCAAAUCUACGUAGUUCCACUUAUUAUAUACUCCCUCCCUUUUUUAUAACUGACGUUUAAGAAAUUUGCUCUUAAGUACUUUUAUCUGUCGUUUUAUUAUCCCCAUGCAGCAUUAAUUAUUUUUUCACAAUUUUACCCUUUUAUCUCUCUUUUCCAAUACAGGGUUCUUAAUUACUACUUUUAGUUAAUUUGCAUUGCUUUUGGCCUAGUAAAACAGCACCAUUUAGUACUCUAGUGAGAGAAAAUAUGGAUGAAUUGGACAAUUAAUGAGGGUACAAAAGGAAAGUAGUGUAUAGAUUUAAACAAUGAAAAUCUUUUCUUAAUUGAUGUGCAAAACCUUAAACGUCAGUUAUAAAAAAAGGGAGGGAGUAUGCUGAUGUGACACAUAAAAAAGAAAAGUUGUUUGGCUGCCUUAUGCUACUUCUUUUCUUUUGGAUUUCCUUUGUUUACACAACUUUGUUACAAUUCCCAAAACCCUAUUGCUAUCGUAUGUUUUAACCCAAAACUUGUUACCACUGUUUUUUGUCUAGAAGACAAAGGAAGUUCUUCAACAAAACAAUUUUUUGGGAACCUUAUUAUUAAGCCAAACAAUUUUUUUCCCUUUGUUUUAGCAUAAGGCAGCCAAACAACUUUUUUUUUUAUGUGUCACAUCAACAGAUAUAACAAGUGAAACUACAUAAUUUUGCACUGGACAAAAAAGUGAACACAAAAUAUUAGACAGAGGAUCCAGCUCCUAAAUUUUUAGACUUUGAAUGCACAUGUUUUAAGAGAUGAGUUGGUUAGAUUUCGGUUUAAACACAUAUAAAACAAUUUAUAUUUUUGAAAUUGAUAUCGACAUAAAGGAAUUUAAGACCAAAAAAAAUUGGUUCGGGAAACACGAAAACAAGAAUAUGAUCAUAUAGCACUUCUUUCAUAAUUCAGGCCAAAGAAUGACGAUAUAUUAAAGAGUUCUACAAGUAAUGUUUGAUAACUUAUAUAUUCUAUUCUCGUGUUUGAUGUAGAUCUUUUGAGUUGGAAAGUCGUUUCCCUCGUAAACCUCAUUCUAACUUUUUCCUAAAACCUUCAUUCCUCACAAAAUUCUAAAAAAAAGUUCCGAAUAGCCCAAAAUCAUUGAGGUUAAGUUUAUCCUCAUACAUCUCUUUACACUAUUACCAAAUAUUAGGCAACAAUACUUACCUAGUCCAAUACUACUUGAUAAUGAUAUGAUGGGUAGACAACUUUGCUUUCUAACAAAAUUCAGAAGUUGGUCAAUUAAGCGAGCAUAUAUAGCUUUUGAAAGAAAAAUGUGAUCAUGAGAACAUUUUACUAUGUUUUGAGGAAUUUGAAGGCAUAUUUCGGAAAGUUACUAAGGUCAUUUAUAGUUAUUCAAAUGUGGACUUAUCCAACGCGGUAGUAAAACGUCAACCAACUCAAGUCUAGUACCAGUGUCUUUUGAGGGUGCCGCUCGAUGCCUGCAGAUGGUAAACAAAUCCAGAUUAAGAGCAGACUUUUUUUCUCGGGAGAAGAAUUUGACUGCCCUCCCAACAGAAAAUGUUUUAAAACUGCGUCAUUACAACUAAGUAUGCAAAUUAAUCUUAAACAAUUCUUUGUAAUCAUGCAUUAAGAGAAACACAGUUCAAACAGCAUUAACAUGUAUUAUUCUCAUAUCAACCAUUUGAGGAUUAAUCUUUCCCGGCCGUCAUCCAAAUAUUAUACUCGUUUGUGCUAUACUUUACUACAUCACAUAUCCCAGCGUCAAACCAAGUGAGUCUAAGCAGAGGACAGCAAUCUCCUCUUCUACAUGGUCAAGUAUUAGCAUACAGUUUAAGCAUCAAUUCAAUAAUCAUCAACAAGGAGACAAAUGCAACGAUAAUGCUGUCUUCCAAUCUUUCAAUACCAUUAUCUGGAGCACUUGAUCAGUAAUUGCAAGUGACCAAAGCACCAGAAGUGAAGAAUGCGACUAACCUGUUGGACCUAUUAGAUACAAAAUUCAUGAUCUUUAUUUACUGGAAUUCAGAGUAAAAAGUGAAACUGGAACAAAGGCAGCAAGCAGUCAACUCUAUCAACUUGAUUUCAACGGUGCCAAGGCCGAUCAAAAGAUGUUCUCAAUGGUUAUGUCUUUCUAACUUGAUGCGUAUGCUAAUACUGCCUAAAAGUACUUCUAUCUGCAUUUACACUGGUUUAUUGCUUUUUUCCUUGGUAACACAUUCAAAGUUCGACACUAUCAGUAUGCAGAUCCUCAUGUCUCUAUAGCCAAACCCUGGAAAUGCAGAUCCAAUGUCCCCAAACAACCUGGCAUAGAAUGAUGAGACCAGCAUCCUAAUGAUCAAAAAUGAAAUGAAACUGAUACUAAGGGUACCUGUUUAUGCCACCUAGCCGCAGCAUACAGGUUGAACUUUCGUCACUUUCCAGCUAAAAGAUACGCAAAAAAUGAACUCAUGUGCAGAAGUAAAUGUUCAAUAACUAAAUUUUACCUCAAAAGCACUGUAUCUUUUCAGUGACAAGAAGCAUCAAGUUCAAAUGUUCUGAAUUGGCACGUGAAAAAAUUUUAGAACUUCAGAGUAGAUGUUUAAUGUGCCUUAGAAAAUGACUGAAGCAAAAGUGGGACAUGAUCAGUGUCACCACGUGCAUUAAUAAAAUCAAAUACCAAGCCUCAUGAUGUAUCUAGAUUCUGCUGUCUAAAAACCUAUUUGAAACAUUCUUCGCUUCUAGAUUAAAACCCCAAAACAGAAGAUAAGAGUUAUUCACGAGUAUCAGAAAACAACAAAACAAAUUUGCAGAACUUUCAUUCUCUGUAGAUUCAUCAGUUCCACAAGUCAGAAUACGCCAUUCAAUUUUGAUACUAACUGCACCUGGUAGAAAGAGGAAAAUGACAAGAAGAAACAGUCCCAAAUUAACAUUCUUCUGUAUGUUGAUACCAAAACUAUUAUGUUGCAGCCAUAGACCUCAAACAGUUUUAAGUUCUUAAUUGUAAUUUUGCAGCUCAAAAGAUGCUAAUGUUAGCAACAAGCUAUUAAUUUAAUCCAAUUAAUGUGUUCCUAUCUGUGGAUAAAAUGACGCCAGAAUUUACCUUCAAGAUUGACCGGGAACAUUCUGAAGUAGACAUCUAGCAUUGUGCAAAACAGCAUUAGUCUCCUCAUUUGAGGCAUCAAGCAACUGUAGUUCCUGAAUCUCCUCCUCCCACUUAGCCAUCUGUUCCUUGUGGAUUCUGUAGACAAACAUGCUUCAAGAAAAAAAAUUUUGCUACAACCUGAUCUUGAAAGCCUAACACCUAUUUUUUAAAUGACUCACAGAAAUAAUCUUUUUUCAAAUUCUUUACUAAGAUCCUCCAGCAUUGACUUCCCUGAUUCCAGCAGCUCAGACACCUUCAUCAAGUAAAAACGAAAUUCAGCACAGAAUUUAUAUUCAAACAAACUGAAACCAAGGCCAGCAUAAUCACUUGCAAUCAAGGAAGGUUUAUCUUUCAAACUUUCACUUCUAGAAUUACAUAAUGCCUAAGCGAAUAGGACUGUUUUCCUUUAUAUAUUUUUCUGGCUCUUUUGAAUUUUGGACUCCCCGCAUUUUACUUUGCUCCUCAACUGAUUUUUUUUUUUCAUGAAAAGACAGGGUAGAGCAAAGCUACCAGCUGAGUAAAGCGAUUAAUCUUCUCAUGAAUGUGAGCAAUCUCCACCAGCAUUUGCUCAGAGCCAACAAUGGUGUUGCCCUCAC
rnacentral:lncRNA from 1 species